UGCCUUGGCCUGAAAAGUUUCUGUCCUGCU
rnacentral:piRNA from 1 species